rnacentral:rRNA from 1 species
AGUGGACGCUGGCGGUAGGCCUAACACAUGCAAGUCGAACGGCAGCACAGUAAGAGCUUGCUCUUACGGGUGGCGAGUGGCGGACGGGUGAGGAAUACAUCGGAAUCUACUUUUUCGUGGGGGAUAACGUAGGGAAACUUACGCUAAUACCGCAUACGACCUACGGGUGAAGGCAGGGGAUCUUCGGACCUUGCGCGAUUGAAUGAGCCGAUGUCGGAUUAGCUAGUUGGCGGGGUAAAGGCCCACCAAGGCGACGAUCCGUAGCUGGUCUGAGAGGAUGAUCAGCCACACUGGAACUGAGACACGGUCCAGACUCCUACGGGAGGCAGCAGUGGGGAAUAUUGGACAAUGGGCGCAAGCCUGAUCCAGCCAUACCGCGUGGGUGAAGAAGGCCUUCGGGUUGUAAAGCCCUUUUGUUGGGAAAGAAAAGCAGCAGGUUAAUACCCCGCUGUUCUGACGGUACCCAAAGAAUAAGCACCGGCUAACUUCGUG